GGUGACAGUGAUUGGGUUGGUAAUUUGAGGUGGAACAUAGGUAGUGGUGCAUCUGUUGCUUACAUUGCACUUCUCAUCACUGCUUGUUCGUCAUUUUGUUUGAUGCUUUGGUUAGCUGCAACACCAUUGAAAUCUGCAACUCACAUCGAAGCUCAGGUGUUGAACUGGGAAGUACCCAAUUCACCUGAACCAUCUACGUGGAGGGAGGAAAUUUUUUUACCUGAAAAUCUACAUGAUGGAGUGGAACCCAUUCAAAAUCGGGAACAAUUACCAGAACCUGGGAAUUCCAUGGAGAGUUAUUCAGAUAUGACUG
rnacentral:misc_RNA from 1 species